rnacentral:lncRNA from 1 species
UGUAAUAUCAUUUGCUUUGUAUCUCAACUCUUAGAUUGUUAUAAUUUUCUUUUCUUUAUUUAGUAGUUUAAUAGUUGUCUUAACAUUCGGAAGAACCAACCUCACUUGGCUACCACUGCUUCCAUGAUUCCAUCUCUAAUCAUAUUAUGCAAAACAAUUUGGUCCCAAUUUAAACCCUGUUGGUACCGAAUAUCUCGCUUCUAUAUAAAUUUGUACAGAUCUCUUCUUGACCGACACUUUGAUUUUCCGUUCGUGGGUGUAAGAUUGCAGAUCUCUUUUUAUUCUCUUAACAUCCCACUCUUAUACUUGUUCCUUUUCUGACUUCAGUUUUAGUACAGUUUUUAUCUUUUUCAACUUUUUGGU